rnacentral:rRNA from 1 species
UACGUAGGGGGCUAGCGUUGUCCGGAUUUAUUGGGCGUAAAGAGCGUGUAGGCGGCCAGGUAGGUCUGCUGUGAAAACUCGAGGCUCAACCUCGAGACGUCGGCGGAAACCAUCUGGCUAGAGUCCGGAAGAGGAGAGUGGAAUUCCUGGUGUAGCGGUGAAAUGCGCAGAUAUCAGGAAGAACACCCGGUGGCGAAGGCGGCUCUCGUCGGUAC